rnacentral:rRNA from 1 species
UAUCGGAAACGAUAGCUAAGACCGGAUAACUGGUUUCUCGCAUGAGAGAAUCAUGAAACACGGAGUAAUCUGUGGCUUAUAGAUGGGCUGCGGCGCAUUAGCUAGUUGGUAGGGUAACGGCCUACCAAGGGCGACGAUGCGUAGCCGACGUGAGAGGGUGAACGGCCACACUGGGACUGAGACACGGCCCAGACUCAUACGGGAGGCAGCAGUAGGGAAUCUUCCGCAAUGGACGCAAGUCUGACGGAGCAACGCCGCGUGAGUGAUGAAGGUUUUCGGAUCGUAAAGCUCUGUUGCCCUAGACGAACAGCAAGGCGAGUAACUGCGCUUUGUGUGACGGUAUAGGAGAAGAAAG